AGCCCUGAGUUUUUUUGUGGACACAAGGCAAACCUUAGGAGCAUAUGGAACUACUAAAAAUGUCUUUUCAGAUGAAUGCAGCAACCAUGCACAGGACCAGCGGGACAAAACUGACUUCCCAUCAUAAACAUGAGAUUGGUGGGAAGCAGCAGCAAUGACUGCAUUAUCUCUAAUGGCAGCCAUUUUGUGACUGACAUCCUCUCUCAAAAUUUGAAAAGUGACCACUGGUCCAAAAAGGGUUUCCAAAUCUUGUAAUAUUUGCAGAAGCAGCAUCAUUACAUCAGAACAAGCAGCAUUCAUCCUGUUGGCCCAGGAAGGCUCUUCUCCAGAAAAGUGCAGAGUCUGAGUGUGGAAGCCACUCUCAAUAGGAAUGGUCUCAAAGAUUACUCUAAACCUCUGGUUGACUAGCUGAAUGCGUGUGUGUCUGGGUACACCAAAAUAAAAUAAAAACAUAAAAACAUGUAAUAUUUGGGGGGGGAAGUGCCCCCUUUGACCCCUUCCCCCAGUGGUACUGAUGAAAGAGCAAUAUGGAAUACGGUCGCAUGGCUUUUUUCACAUCCAGCAAGGCUGCCUUCUUUUUCUUUCCCCUCUCCCAAAUGUGUACGGUAAAGAGUUUCUGAAGUAAUUUGCAGUGCAACGAAGGCAGAAUAUUCACUCUUGACUGAAAGCACGUAUCUGUUUUUCUGAAUUUCACCCAGUGUUGUAAAUAAUGGGCACUGGGGAUCAAUUCUCAUUUUGGGAGGGUGUUUUUGAAGUGUUCAGUUUAAGACUUGAUUCUUAAGGGAUUCUAUGGUGUUAGAUGGAAAUAUGAGGUGUCUAUUCCAUGAAACUGUUCAAAGUUGGGAACCUUGUUACUGUCAUCAUUGGCAAGAUACAUAUUUACCAAUUUGAUCUUUCAUAUUUCAAGGGUACUUGAUUCAAGCAGAGUAGGAAUUAUAUUGUAGUCACUGACCAGAUUGCUGAGUGGACAAUUUCCUUCAAACUAACCACACCUAAUUUGGCUGUUUUUAUCCUCUGUCCACUGUCACUCCUGCCCACAAUACGUCUGUUCAUCAUAAUCCUACAACAGGCUAAGCACUAGGAGAAUGCAUUAAAAAUGGUGAAGCAAAGUGUGAAAAACUGCAUAGCAGGCCAGAUUGUGUACAGUCUACCCUCUGUUCAACAAAUUCUGAGAUAAGGGUCAAGAGCUGCCUCCAUAUGAAGGUGUAUUACAUCUUACUGCUAAUUGUGUGUUGUAGUUGAAAGUGAUAAUACUAUGAGAAUCAGAGGUAGAGCAAACAUUAUUCUAGGAUAAUUAACAAUUGGCACCCUCAAGGAAACAUCUGUCCUGGAAUAUUAUUUUGCUUCACCCUCAAAAACAUUUUGCCUUUCUGCUCAGUGAGCACUGAGGCAGCUAAGCAUUGGGUUGUAUUCAACUAAAUCCUACUCAAAGUAGACCCAUUGAAAUUAAUGACCCUGAGUUAGCCGUGUCUAUUAACUUCACUGGGUCUACUCUGAAUAGAACUAGUAUCACCCUUUGUGCUGAGUUUAACUCCUUUCUGACAAAAAUAUUAUGAUUUGCAUGGGGUUGUUGAUGUGCUAAGAUUCUCCUGAUAUUAGCUGUGACACAACACAUUAGGACAGAUAAAUCCCGUGUAUUGUCUCUGUUCCCUAAUUUCAUUCCAAUUCUUCUGUAUUGUGUGCUGCCCCAUUUUCUCCCUGAGCUUUUUUUGGUCAUAUUGAGAAAGUCACUUCUUUCCGGAGCAGCAAGACCUUUUUCUCCCCUGUGUCUGCAUGGUUAGCCUCUCACAACGUAAAUGGUAGGCUCUUAAAAUGAUGCUAUGGAGUGCAUGGAUGAGCUAGUCUCUAAGCCUUGGGCCACUGAAAUAUUUGUCUCUGAAUGAUUUGUGGACACUGGGUUAUAUUAUAUUGCUUUCCAACUAUGGGUACAGUCAGUCUUAGGGGAGGCAGCUCUCAAUGGAACUCUGCUGAAGCAGUUUUCUUAAAAACACACAUUCACAUGGACCCCUUGAUGUAUGUUUAUGGAUUUUAUGGAUUA